rnacentral:lncRNA from 10 species
AGUGCCUGCGCGGCUUGCUCCAGCAAGGUAAAAUUUCCCACUGCGAGGCAGGCAGUGAUGCUGCGGCCGCUUCGCACUGUGGCUCCUGCCGACCGCCAGGCGCUGUUACAGUGGAUGCGAACUAACCGUAAGUCAUUAUAUCGUACUGCAGAAACCAGCUCAACUAUGCAAAACUACCACCAGGACUGGCCGACACCAGGAGGGAUUCCAGAGACCACACUGCAGGGAGCAUACAGAAAGAAAAUUAAGAGAUCAGAUGCAGCAGCAGCCGGAACCCACAGUUCACCUUGGUGCAUUCCUUUAUGAUGAAGACUUAUUGAUUCAUUAUAUGAGAAAGGAAAAAUGAGCAGAAACUACUGUAUGAUGUGCAGCUCACACCAGACAGCAACUUUAGGGUUAUCUUUCCAGUUCAGCAGUGCAACUCUAUGGAGUAGAAUUGAAAGGAGACUUUUCGCCAAUUGCAGGAAAUGGUCAUAAAAAAAUACCUGCUCACUGACAGAAUAAAGCACAUGUGCCUCACUCUUCAUGGUAAAUGUUUUACUGAAGAAUAACAUACAGAAAAGUGGACAAGUCUUAACUGCACAGCUCAAUGAAUUUCCAUGAAGUAAAUAUACCCAUAUGAUAAUCCAGCUCAAGAAACAGAAAAUCACUACCACCCCA